UACGUAGGAUGCAAGCGAUGUCCGGGUUUAUUGGGGUUAAAGGGUGCGUAGGCGGCCUAUUAAGUUAGUGGUGAAAACGUUCGGCUUAACCGGAUACCCGCCAUUGAUACUGAUAGACUUGAGUGCGACAGAGGGUGUUGGAAUGUGUGGUGUAGCGGUGAAAUGCUUAGAUAUCACGCAGAACACCAAUUGCGAAGGCAGAUGCCUAUGUCGUAACUGACGCUGAGGCACGAAAGCGUGGGGAGCAAACAGG
rnacentral:rRNA from 1 species